AAACAGGUUACGGCUACAGUUCAGUCAUGUGGGCAAAACUGGAGUGCUGCUACUCCAAGCAGUGCUUCAAAUGUGUGGGAUUCGAACCCAGGUUUGGUGUCUUUCACAGACAAUCAAGAAAUCGACUUUCUAGAUCUCUUUAGUCCGACCUUUAAAUUCAACUUUGCGUCUGAUACCACGGAGUGGCAACCCAUUGUGACUGGACCUGACGAGUGUGACGAGUCAGUCUCAGAUCUUUUGGCGGAAGUUGAAGCCAUGGAGUCCCAAAAGCGUCUUCCUUCUCCUACUUCCACAUACCGUGGUCCUGGAGAGUUAACCCGCCACUCCAUUAAUGAUAGCUUCAGUCCUGUUGAAGGGCAUAGCCCAGCGCUUGAUGCAAGCAAAGGUGACUCCAUGAGCUCAACAAACGAUUUGCAAAUGCAUUUACGAACUAACAACCCCGUGGACUUUUAGCGGAUCAUGUAUCAUAACCAGGGCACAGGUUAGCAUAGAUCAUCUGAUGGAUGGUGGACAGUGCCCUCCUCUCUCUCUCUUUUUUGCAGGAUUAUUACAGAACAUUAAUAAGUGAGCGAAUCUUACACGAUCAUCAGAAAAAAAAGAGUGGUGCAUAAGAAGAAGAUAUGGUGAUAAUUUUGGCUGUUUAGGUUUUCCACGUUGUCGUCCUGUCUUGUGUAUUUCUUACAUUGUUUGUGUACUUAGGGUAAGUAUUAAGAUGGAAGAUAUUUGUUGUCAGUGGAUGUAAUCAAACCAUUGUAGUAUAUGAUAAGUGUAACGUUUCAUAAAAGCUUCACAUAUCUGUUUAUUUGUUUCUGAGACGUGAGCAUAUUUGCUUGAUCACACGGCGUCGUUUUUGUUUCUUUUGUAUCUGACAAGUGGAAAGAACAACUGAACAAGAGGAACUCGCUCGCUCGCUCUCUUCGAUUGAUCUUUCACGUAUUUAGAAACUUUUUGUUGAUUGUAUUUUUCCGAUUGAAAAUUACAUUUAUCUGAUUUGAUGGUGGAAGCUUCGUCGAAUUUAACCCCUACACGCCACCACCUUCACCUCUUUCUCCAAUUCCCAAUUCUUCCUCUCGUCCUCCCCUAGGGUUACUACGCUUUACUCUCCCCCCCUCCCGAUCUCGUCACUUUCUUGAAUCGAUGCCGGAGAUCGAUCUCAUGAGAGUCGUCGAUCAAUCCGCCGCCGAUGUGAAAUUGGCUGGCGAUUACGAUUCUUCUCCGCCUAUCGAAGCUCUCGGUUGCUGUGGUGGCUCCGUGGAUGUGGAUGUGAAGCUGGAAGAAGAAGAGGACUCGAGCUGCGUGAAGAAGACUCGGCCUAGACGCGGACGUCCGCCGAGAACGGUGGGGAAAGCUUCUCCCGUGUCGAGUAAGAGGAGAGAAGACGAAGAUGUUUGUUUCGUGUGCUUCGAUGGAGGUAGUCUUGUUCUCUGCGAUCGUAGGUGAGUUUGAGUUCGAGCUUCUUCUUUAGUAGUAGAUUCGUUGCUUUCCAAAAAUUGAAAUUGAAAUUGAGGACUUUUUCUUUAACAUGUGGCAGAGGAUGUCCAAAGGUGUAUCACCCAGCUUGUGUUAAGCGUAGUGAAGCAUUCUUCAGAUCGAGAUCUAAAUGGAACUGUGGUAAGUUAGUUUGAUACAUUACCCAAAGAGAUGAAGUCUUUUGGAGCUGAUUUUUGAUUUUUCAGGUUGGCAUAUAUGUACGGCUUGUCAGAAGGAUUCUUUCUACAUGUGCUAUACUUGUCCUUAUUCUGUUUGCAAGAGAUGCGUUAGAAGCUCAGAGUAUGUACUUGUACGGGAGAACAAAGGCUUCUGUGGGAUCUGCAUGAAGACUAUCAUGCUUAUUGAGAAUGCGCCUGAAGCUAACAAAGAAAAAGUACGAGUGAACUUGAGACUUUGUCUUGCUUUUGUUCUGCAAUGUGUUUAACAUCUACAUUUUGUCCAGGUUCAGGUCGACUUUGAUGAUCAAGGCAGCUGGGAGUAUCUUUUUAAGAUCUACUGGGUCUCUCUUAAAGAGAAGCUAUCUCUGUCGUUAGAUGAUCUUACCAAAGCUAAGAAUCCAUGGAAACCGUCUAAGAGAAGGACUACUAGUCAGCUUCAUGGAAAUGAUGAUGGGGUUAUGAAGUUAAGUCGUGCUAAGCUAAGGAAAAUGGAAGCGGGUAAAUUGGAUUCGAAGAGUUGUCUGGGUGAUAGACUUGCACCAUUGACUGGUACUGCUGCUGCUUGGGCAACAGAUGAGCUCUUGGACUUUGUUAGGUUUAUGAAAAACGGUGAUGUUUCCGUCUUGUCGAAGUAUGAUGUUCAAACUCUCGUGCUAGAGUAUGUGAGACGGAAUAGUAUACAAAACGCUUCUCAGGAUUCGGAAAUAGUGUGUGACCCUAGGCUUAUGAGAUUGUUUGGAAAGGAGCGAGUGGAUCACUUGGAAAUGUUGAAGAUUCUUGAUUCUCACUUCCUCGAUCAAGAAAGGUCUCCGGUUACAGUUACUGAAGCUAUGUCCUUCCAGGUCGAUGAUAGGUUGAAUGCCUCUGAACAACAUCAAGAAGGAGAGUCACAGAGACCUUCCAGUGCCGAAACACGUGCCGCGCUGUACAAUAAGCCAAUCGAUGAGUUGGAUUUGAAUAUGAUAUGGUUAUAUGGAGAUCCAGAUGGGAAGAUUCAUGGACCGUUUUCGUUAAUGAACCUGCGGCAAUGGAGUUCGAGUGGCCACUUCCCGCCUGAGCUGAGAAUAUGGAGGUUGGGUGAACAGCAGAACAGGUCCAUACUUUUGACCGACGCAUUAAAUGGGCAGUUCCAUAAAACAGGGUUGCUUCAGAAUCAUUCUAUCCCGAAGCAGGAAGAGACAGCUACUAUAGCUAACGUUGAAAACAGGAGUGUGGCUGUUGCUAAACUAGAGAGUAGAGUACUUGACUUUAGCCCCAACUCGGUGUCCACCGACCAGAGUGUCAUUUCUAGCAGUAACAGUGUCAUCACAAGGGGCUCCGACGCGAGCAACAGAAGCGAAAACCUUUUUAGCCACACCCCGUUGGAUUUCACUCAUUCUAAUGAAAGGGAGGCUGUGGGUAACAAAUUGAAAAUUGACAGUCCUUUGCCUGGACAAAGCCCUAUAAGCUGUUCGCUGUCGCUGUCUACAUUUCCAGGAAACUCAAACUCAAACUGUACUCUGCCACCGCAACAGGAAAGAUGGAAUGUUGGUCAUACAGAGGCAGAUGGGAACACAGUAAUGAAAGCUUGCAAUCAAAAAGAUGCUGGCCCUAGCGGUGCGGGUGAGAAACAGGUUACGGCUACAGUUCAGUCAUGUGGGCAAAACUGGAAUGCUGCUACUCCAAGCAGUGCUUCAAAUGUGUGGGAUUCGAACCCAGGUUUGGUGUCUUUCGCAGACAAUCAAGAAAUCGACUUCCUAGAUCUCUUUAGUCCGACCUUUAAAUUCAACUUUGCGUCUGAUACCACGGAGUGGCAACCCAUUGUGACUGGACCUGACGAGUGUGACGAGUCAGUCUCAGAUCUUUUGGCGGAAGUUGAAGCCAUGGAGUCCCAAAAGCGUCUUCCUUCUCCUACUUCCACAUACCGUGGUCCUGGAGAGUUAACCCGCCACUCCAUUAAUGAUAGCUUCAGUCCUGUUGAAGGGCAUAGCCCAGCGCUUGAUGCAAGUAAAGGUGACUCCAUGAGCUCAACAAACGAUUUGCAAAUGCAUUUACGAACUAACAACCCC
rnacentral:lncRNA from 1 species